CCCCGGUAAACGGCGGCCGUAACUAUAACGGUCCUAAGGUAGCGAAAUUCCUUGUCGGGUAAGUUCCGACCUGCACGAAUGGCGUAAUGAUGGCCAGGCUGUCUCCACCCGAGACUCAGUGAAAUUGAACUCGCUGUGAAGAUGCAGUGUACCCGCGGCAAGACGGAAAGACCCCGUGAACCUUUACUAUAGCUUGACACUGAACAUUGAGCCUUGAUGUGUAGGAUAGGUGGGAGGCUUUGAAGUGUGGACGCCAGUCUGCAUGGAGCCGACCUUGAAAUACCACCCUUUAAUGUUUGAUGUUCUAACGUGGACCCGUAAUCCGGGUUGCGGACAGUGUCUGGUGGGUAGUUUGACUGGGGCGGUCUCCUCCUAAAGAGUAACGGAGGAGCACGAAGGUUGGCUAAUCCUGGUCGGACAUCAGGAGGUUAGUGCAAUGGCAUAAGCCAGCUUGACUGCGAGCGUGACGGCGCGAGCAGGUGCGAAAGCAGGUC
rnacentral:rRNA from 1 species